rnacentral:rRNA from 1 species
UAGCCAUGCCGCGUGUGUGAUGAAGGCCUUAGGGUCGUAAAGCACUUUCGCCAGAGAUGAUAAUGACAGUAUCUGGUAAAGAAACCCCGGCUAACUCCGUGCCAGCAGCCGCGGUAAUACGGAGGGGGUUAGCGUUGUUCGGAAUUACUGGGCGUAAAGCGUACGUAGGCGGAUUGGAAAGUAUAGGGUGAAAUCCCGAGGCUCAACCUCGGAACUGCCUUGUAAACUAUCAGUCUAGAGUUCGAGAGAGGUGAGUGGAAUUCCAAGUGUAGAGGUGAAAUUCGUAGAUAUUUGGAGGAACACCAGUGGCGAAGGCGGCUCACUGGCUCGAUACUGACGCUGAGGUACGAAAGUGUGGGGAGCAAACAGGAUUAGAUACCCUGGUAG